ACUUGAAUAGCUUAUGUUUAGAGCGCGACGCUGAAGAUGUCGAUGAGGUGUUAAUCAUCUUUAAGUG
rnacentral:tRNA from 1 species